CGCGUAGGCGGUAAUGUAAGUCAGACGUGAAAUCCUUCGGCCUCAACUGAAGAACUGCGUCUGAAACUGCAUGACUAGAGUGCAGAAGAGGGAAACGGAAUUCCAGGUGUAGAGGUGAAAUUCGUAGAUAUCUGGAGGAACACCGGUGGCGAAGGCGGUUUCCUGGGUCUGACACUGACGCUGAGGCGCGAAAGCGUGGGGAGCAAACAGGAUUAGAUACCCUGGUACGUCCACGCCGUAAACGGUGGGUACUGGGUGUGGGAGGUGUAAUGCCUUCUGUGCCGAAGCUAACGCGUUAAGUACCCCGCCUGGGGAGUACGGCCGCAAGGUUGAA
rnacentral:rRNA from 1 species